ACACAUGCAAGUCGAGGGGCAGCAUUUCAGUUUGCUUGCAAACUGGAGAUGGCGACCGGCGCACGGGUGAGUAACACGUAUCCAACCUGCCGAUAACUCGGGGAUAGCCUUUCGAAAGAAAAAUUAAUACCCGAUGGCAUAAUUAGACCGCAUGGUCUUAUUAUUAAAGAAUUUCGGUUAUCGAUGGGGAUGCGUUCCAUUAGGCAGUUGGUGAGGUAACGGCUCACCAAACCUUCGAUGGAUAGGGGUUCUGAGAGGAAGGUCCCCCACAUUGGAACUGAGACACGGUCCAAACUCCUACGGGAGGCAGCAGUGAGGAAUAUUGGUCAAUGGACGAGAGUCUGAACCAGCCAAGUAGCGUGAAGGAUGACUGCCCUAUGGGUUGUAAACUUCUUUUAUACGGGAAUAAAGUGAGGCACGUGUGCCUUUUUGUAUGUACCGUAUGAAUAAGGAUCGGCUAACUCCGUGCCAGCAGCCGCGGUAAUACGGAGGAUCCGAGCGUUAUCCGGAUUUAUUGGGUUUAAAGGGAGCGUAGGCGGACGCUUAAGUCAGUUGUGAAAGUUUGCGGCUCAACCGUAAAAUUGCAGUUGAUACUGGGUGUCUUGAGUACAGUAGAGGCAGGCGGAAUUCGUGGUGUAGCGGUGAAAUGCUUAGAUAUCACGAAGAACUCCGAUUGCGAAGGCAGCUUGCUGGACUGUAACUGACGCUGAUGCUCGAAAGUGUGGGUAUCAAACAGGAUUAGAUACCCUGGUAGUCCACACAGUAAACGAUGAAUACUCGCUGUUUGCGAUAUACAGUAAGCGGCCAAGCGAAAGCGUUAAGUAUUCCGCCUGGGGAGUACGCCGGCAACGGUGAAACUCAAAGGAAUUGACGGGGGCCCGCACAAGCGGAGGAACAUGUGGUUUAAUUCGAUGAUACGCGAGGAACCUUACCCGGGCUUGAAUUGCAACUGAAUGAUGUGGAGACAUGUCAGCCGCAAGGCAGUUGUGAAGGUGCUGCAUGGUUGUCGUCAGCUCGUGCCGUGAGGUGUCGGCUUAAGUGCCAUAACGAGCGCAACCCUUAUCGAUAGUUACCAUCAGGUUAUGCUGGGGACUCUGUCGAGACUGCCGUCGUAAGAUGUGAGGAAGGUGGGGAUGACGUCAAAUCAGCACGGCCCUUACGUCCGGGGCUACACACGUGUUACAAUGGGGGGUACAGAAGGCAGCUACACGGCGACGUGAUGCUAAUCCCGAAAGCCUCUCUCAGUUCGGAUUGGAGUCUGCAACCCGACUCCAUGAAGCUGGAUUCGCUAGUAAUCGCGCAUCAGCCACGGCGCGGUGAAUACGUUCCCGGGCCUUGUACACACCGCCCGUCAAGCCAUGAAAGCCGGGGGUACCUGAAGUGCGUAACCGCAAGGAGCGCCCUAGGGUAAAACUGGUGAUUGGGCC
rnacentral:rRNA from 1 species